rnacentral:rRNA from 1 species
GUCCACGCCCUAAACGAUGUCAACUGGUUGUUGGGUCUUCAGUGACUCAGUAACGAAGCUAACGCGUGAAGUUGACCGCCUGGGGAGUACGGCCGCAAGGUUGAAACUCAAAGGAAUUGAUGGGGACCCCGCACAAGCGGUGGAUGAUGUGGUUUAAUUCGAUGCAACGCGAAAACCUUACCCACCUUUGACAUGUACGAAAUCCUUUAGAGAUAGAGGAGUGCUCGAAAGAGAAUCGUAACACAGGUGCUGCAUGGCUGUCGU